UUCCAUAAUACUAAUAUAAAUUCAACCUUGAUUAUUCUCUUUAGUUCCCUCUCGAACUAACUUUUAAUCGUGAACUCAACUAUUUUCUGCAGAGCAGAGGCGAAUCGGUUGAUUUCACUCCCAUUUUAAUAAUAUAACACAUUUCCAACACUCUUAAGGUGUUCUGUAAGCACCUAUAACAUACCUGUUAGGCGCAGUUUGGAGCUGGAGUGGCCAUAGCUGAUUAAAAAAACAAUGGACACAACACUGGCACUGUCGUCUGCUGUACUCCGCUUCAGCCUGAUGACGUCAUGAGAUAUCUCUCCAAUAUCCAGUCAACUAGCGAUUUAUAGGACGUAAUAUGUGCACUACGUUAUCAUUGGUACGUGGCACAAUGCAUUUCUAGGCUCUUCCCAGAACCGGAAACAUGUCCAUUUGACAGGCGAGGUGUUUCCUUCCAUACCGACAGAUGGCGUGAGUUGUAAACUUUGAACACUGUGACCGCCACUCUCGCCGCGUCAUGUGUAAAUAUUAGUGUUUUCCAAGGACCACUCACCUGUCAUGGCCACCAGGCGAGUGUUGCAAACGUUGCCGGUGCCGUGCGAGGGCGCAGCGCCGCCUCCCGCCUCCCAAGUAACGGCUGAGGAGAAGGAGGAGGAGAAGGAGGAUAAGGAGGAGGAAGGAAGCAAGGAAGGAAGCAAGGAAGGAAGGAAGGAAUGUUGCUGAAAAAAAAAUACCCUACUGGUCCGAGUU